rnacentral:sRNA from 1 species
AGAACUCUCCCCUCGGGGAGAGGGGGCCGUAUCCCACACCCUUUGUGAACCACAACUCUGUUGCUUCGGGGGCGACCCUGCCGUCAGGCGGCGGUGCCCCCGGUGGCCUUCAACUAAACUCUGCAUCUUUUGCGUCGGAGUCUUUUAAGGAAUUAAACAAAACUUUCAACAACGGAUCUCUUGGUUCUGGCAUCGAUGAAGAACGCAGCGAAAUGCGAUAAGUAAUGUGAAUUGCAGAAUUCAGUGAAUCAUCGAAUCUUUGAACGCACAUUGCGCCCCGUGGUAUUCCGCGGGGCAUGCCUGUUCGAGCGUCAUUUCACCACUCAAGCCUAGCUUGGUAUUGGGCGCCGCGGCGAUCUCCAUCGCUGCGCGCCUUAAAGUCUCCGGCUGAGCAGUCUGUCUCCGAGCGUUGUGACACAUGUCGCUAGGGAGUGCAGGUCUGCCGCGGCCGUUAAAUCUUUAUUCAAGG